rnacentral:tRNA from 2 species
CAAAAUGUAGCUUAAUUUCUAAAGCCCUUCGCUUACACCGAAACUAUCUCUGUGGAACCCAGAUCAUUUUGA